ACAAUUUAGCAAAUACGUAUCACAAUAAUCCAUCCACGUUCAAACUCACUUGACACGAUUUCAAACUGUUUUCCUCUUUUAUAAAUUUACUCUCAGUUUCUUUUCCUUCUUUUUCCAUCUUCUCCAGCAAAACAAGAAAUCUUUUCAGUCCUUUUAAAAUUUCAAUUUUCACGUCAGGUUUCUUCGUACCUUCUUUUUUUUUUGUACCAAUUUUAUUUUUUUAUUUUUCAUCUAAACUAAUACUUAAAAGUCUAUUAGUGACAAUCUUUAGAUUGAUACCGUGGAAUUGCGCCUCUGGAAGUCACGGUUUGGAGAGAUAGAAUGAAGCGAAGCAUAAGCAAAUUUUAUUCUUGUGAAGGAACUUAUAACUACACUCACGGCCAGUGAUCUUCCGGUUGAAUCAAAGAUCAUAAGUAUUCACUACUGCAAUUGAGUUUGAAUGUAAAGCUAUUGCUGAAAGUAUCGUGAAGCUUGCAGUUACGAAUCCAAAGGUGAGUUUACUUUAUUUAAUUGUGGCUAGAGAAUUCUUUUAAUUUAUAAAAGGUAACUAUAGUUUAAAAUUAUAAUUUUAUAAAUUCAUCAACCUAUAAAAAUAAAGUAACGUGGGUUAAUUUUGUUUAGAUGUGUGUUUUUUCCAAAAAGAUGUUAGGUAAAUUAGCAUUUUCUGAUCAAAUUAGGUAAAUUCACAUAAAAUGUCAAUUUUAAACUAUAAAGAUUUGGACCUAUCAAAAAACUAAAAAAACUAAGACCUUUCAGAAAACAAUAAAAAUUAAAUAGUAAAUUUAUUAGGUUCAUCAUAUCUAAAUUUACAUUAAAUUAAAUUAAGUAUUUUUUCUAUUUGAUAUCAUCAAAUAUAUUAUUUCAAGUAUAUUUUAUAUAUAUUUUCUUUAUUUUGAUUUUUUUACAAAACAGAGAAUUGACCUGUGCAUAGCACAGGUGGUAAUACUAGUAAUAUAGUAUUUUAAUAAAUUUAGACCUCGACUUUUAUCAUGGAACUCUUCUCUCUCUGUUUAGGUUUACUAGGUCCGCGUCCGCCCUACGGGCAGAUAAUGUGGUGAUGUAUUUUUAUUUUUAGUUUAUACAAAGAACAUACAAAGUUUGAUAAAUUUGUCCGCCCUAUGCAAUAUCAUUUGAUAAAUUUGCCCUAAAAAAAUUACAAAGUUUUUGAACUUGGGAAGUAGGUAGUGAUCUUGUUAUCCUUUUAUUAAUGUUUUUUUUGAUGAUUUCCUUUGGCCAAAAGCUAUAUUUACAACGCAUCUUUCAUGUAAGUUCAAUAUCUUGACAAAAUUUUAGAGGCAAAGAAUUUUGAAUAUAUGAAAAAAGAGUGAAAAAGAAAUCAUACAUAUUGAUCUGAAGGGUUUGUGGUUUUAUUUAGAGAAGCAAAAAAAUCAUAAGAACGUAUGCCGGCAAUAUAACUUUAAAAAUAACAUUGGGUAUGCAUUAAGAAAUCUAAAAAACCUUCAAAUUAAUACUAAACCUAGCGACCAAGCAUUUUUAAAAAAGUUAAAAGUAAUACACACGAAGGUAUGUUCGCUUGUCGAGUGUAGAAGAUCGUACCCAUAUGGAAUACUUUGUAGACAUAAAAGGAAAAUUUAUGAUGGUUCGAGUUAGGCGAGUACUUGAUUUCAGACCUCUGGAAACAGACUUACUUUUCAUAUGCUUAUUUGAAAAAAAAUACGUGUAAGCUUAUUCCUUGUCUUUAUUCUCUGCAUCAGCAAUGUAAAAAAAUAUAUGAGGUUUGAUGUUAAUGAGAGGGCAAGGGAGAAAUAUGAGACAAAUUACUUGAGAAAUGCCUACUACGUGAAGAGGUUUUAAUGUUUAUUCUGAUAUUCUUUCGUAAGGCAUCAUCAUUACAUGUAACUGUGUGUCUAAUAUAUUGUAAAGAUAUAUUAAAAUAAAAUAAAUUUGAAAAUAGCAAAAUGAAUAUAAGGAAGAUACAUUGUAUGUGAACAUAAAUAUUUUGAGCUACUUAUGCGUUUUUCUUUCUCGUGUUGAUGGAUAAGCAAACGAAAUUAAAAGUUAUUCUAUCUGCCCAUUUCAUAAUUCACUUCAAGCAAAAACUUAAACGCAAAUCACACAGUUUUUUUUGUGGGACCUACAGAGUGUACACGUGGACCCCCUCUGGAGAGAGCAAAAACGGUGAAGAAGGCGAAGAGCUGGAGGCGUUCAGCAUCGUGUUAUCCGUCUCGGGUUGGUUUUUUUUUUUAAUUAUACCAAUAGAUACGAAGCCCAGUAAACCAAAACGAAGCCCAUACAUUGCCUCCAAAAUCUUGUUAUCCGUCGCAUGUGGAUCCUACGUGUAUUAACCACCAAUAGAUACGAAGCCCAGUAAACCAAAACGAAGCCCAUACAUUUGCUUCCAAAAUCUUGUUAUCGGUCGCGUGUGGAUCCUACGUGUAUUAACAAAAUGUUUUGAUUGGUCUAAUAUAUUAUCCUACGUGGACAGACUAAAAACACUCUAUAUUUGUCUUUUAGUAUAGGAUAGAUUAGGUUAGCGUUAUUGUAAAAAGAAAAAGAAAGGUUAGCGUUAUUGUAAAAAGAAAAAGAAAGGUUAUCUUGUUGGUAUUUAUAUAUCCAUCACAGAUAAUUUUAUUCAUAAAGACGUAUUUGUGUUAGAGAAAAAGGGAAAAACUAGCAAUAUGGAGAAAUCAGGGCAUGCACACAACCAGGGGAGGAGGUAGAAAAAAAUUUUGUAAGGGGCAAAACUAAUUAUAUUCAUAGAACUAAGGAUAGUUUUGUUAAAAACAUGGGGUCAUACUGAAAAAUAGUCAGUGUUUUACAAAGAAUUUUUAAAAUGAGUUGGGGGCACACAACAAUUAACAUAAUUAUAGCACUUUAAUUUACGAUAGUAUAAGUAUAUGAUACCUAACCUUUAGUUGUGUUUCAAAACAAAAACCUAACCUUCAGCCUUUUGUAGUAUUAGCCUUAAUAGUGUGUAUGAUUUUUAGCAAUUAAUUUACCUGUUUCAAUUUGCUUGUCAAAUACACAACUGAUCAAUACGAGAAAUUUAAUGGCCAUUUUACAAGUGCUCUUAACGUAUUCGUAAUUAUUAAGGCAUAUAGAUCGGAAACCAUCCUUUUCAAAAGCUAUGAUAAAUCAACGUUUGUAUUUUUUUUUUUAACACAAAUCAACGUUUGUAUAUAAUUCAAAUUCAACCACACAAGUUAAAAAUAUGAUGAAACGAUAGUUCCAUUUACCUUUCUCUCCUUGGUCUCUUGGGAUCUACUCCUAGCCAGGGCUCUUUAUCCCUCGUACAAAUAGAAUAUUAAUGGUUAAUAUAACUGAUGAUGGUGACAAAAUAUUGAUAUAUAGUAGUAUAUGUUGCACAUGUUCAAUCUCUGAUGUACUUCUAAGUUCUAAUGCUAAUGAAAUGUAUACAUUUCCUAAUUAGUAAUUAGAUAUUUGAAUCUAGACAAUGAUAAAGAUUGGCACACUGGUAAUGCGAAUGUGUAAAUUUCGUGGAGGAACUAACUUAACUUUACGUAAUUGAUGUACAAAUAUCAAAAACAUAUGCUUGAUUGUAAUCACACACGAUAGCACAAAACUAUAUAGAGAUAAAACAUGCGACAGCUUUUACCAGCAUUUAUUCAAUAUUACUCAACAUACAUUUUUUUAACUCUCAUUUUAUACACCAGAGACAUGUGGCUGCGUCGGUUGUAGUCAUAUUGACGUAUAUAUGCAAAACGAGUAAAAUAUUAUGAUAUUAAAUAUUUGUAUCCAUGUUGUAUAGUAUUAAAAAGACCACCGCUUAGAACAUCUCUAAAAAAUAGUCUAUAUUUUGACAUUUGCAAAAUUCUAUAUUUAAAGUUUUAAAAUGUUCUUCUCCAAAUAUCAAAUUUCAAAAUUAACUCAAAAUUAUUUGUGUUUUACAUUAUGGUCUUUAUAUUUAUGAUGAUUGAUUACGCGUUUAAGCACACACCAAUUAAUCUAAUGUGCCAACAAUACCACAAUCGAAUGGUAUGUCAUUGUAGCAUUUUAGGAUCGAAUCCACAAGGAACUAGUGACCUAUAACACCAAGAAUACACAAGCUUUCUUAAUCUAAGCAAACAAGAAGAUGGAUGAUUUGUAACAAGCUAAGAUCCUAGAAAUAUAAACAAGGUGAUCUCAAAUCCAAUCAAGAAAUAAGUACAAGAACUCAAUCAAAUGCUAAGGAUGGAUUCAUGGGUAAGGAUAAUUGAUAUAAGGUGACCAAGUUUCAAUCUAAAGGUGUCAACUUUCAACCAAUCUAUCUACCUUAGGCCUAGACACAAUCCUAAACAAACUCUAUCCCUAGAUGAAUGCUCAUUUACGUAGAUAACUCAAGCAUCAAAUUCCUUUGGUUGAAUGUUAUCUAAGUAAUCAUUAAUCUCAAGUCUACUAGCCAUCUUAACACCUUUAACAACAAAUUCCUUUGGUAAAGAAUGUUAAAAGCUUAGGAGAGUUGGUUCAGGCAUUUCAUCAAACACCUUCCGGGUAUGAAAUGCCUAGAGCUCAACUUUAGAGAGGCCAACUCUAGAGUUGCAUUAAAAGCACUCUACUAGCAAGGAACAAGAUGGAUCUAUACUAAAACACCUUAGAUCUAGCUUAAUCACCCUAAUCUACCUUAACCCAUGAAUCCAAAAUGUGUCUACUCAAUAAUCUCCAUGAGAAACCUUAAACCCAUAUAAGGAUCAAGGCUAAUCAUGUUAAUGAGCAAGAGAAAUACAAUUAUAAGAUGAAGUACUUCCUUAGAUUAUAGAAAGAUUCAAGCUUUUACAAGUUUAGACAAAGUCUUGAGAGAAAAUGAGAUAAAAAUAAAGUUUCUAGGUUUAAAUCUAUUUAUAGAGGUGUACAAGUCGUGCUGGUUUAAUUGAAUUAAACCGGGUCAAACCGGAAUAAACCGGUCAACAUCUCAAAAUCGCAUCCACAGCGGCCAUCGCAUCCCGCUCCACCAAGUCGAUAUUGGACAGGGGCAUGGGUCUUUUCCCAGCGGGUUCAUCAUCCCGUUUCACUAAGCCGCUGUGAUGCUUGAUCUUUUAUGAUGGAUUUCCCGAGCGGGUUCUUCUUCCUGCGUUGCCAGUGGUCGCUGUGAACCACGCUCAAUGCUCAACGGUGUCUCUCUCCUGCUCUGAUUCACGCCGUCGUCGUCGUCAGCCCAAGCUUCAGUCUUCGUCGCAAAUCAAGCCGUGACUGCGCCACCGUCUCCUCCAAGACGCGACCAAGCUUCCUCUGUGGCCGUGCUCAGCUCCACCGUAGUGCUCCGUCGUCGUCGUCGGCUCACGGCCUCUCUAUCUCCUGUGGCCGUGCUCAGAAUCUCCGCCGUGGAAGCUCCGGAAUCGCCAUCGGGAGUCGUCGCUUCAGUCUCCUCCGUGAAAGCUUGACCACGAGCUCCAAUGGUGAUCCACUGGCUGUCGUCCUUGAAACCUCCGCUUUCCACCACGAACUCCGCCACGGAUCAUCAUGUUCAGGCUAGCUCAGAUCCUCCGUAGUGACCUCAGCUCGAGCCGUGAAAGCAUGUCCUGAAGCUCCGGAGUCGUCGCUUCUCGCCGUCGCAGCCAUCGUCACGGAGAAGAG